rnacentral:rRNA from 1 species
UUCCGGUUGAUCCUGCCGGACCUGACUGCUAUCGGAUUGAUACUAAGCCAUGCGAGUCAUUGUAGCAAUACAAGGCAGACGGCUCAGUAACGCGUAGUCAACCUACCCUAUGGACGGGGAUAACCUCGGGAAACUGAGAAUAAUACCCGAUAGAACACUAUACCUGGAAUGGUUUGUGUUCCAAAUAAUUUAUUGCCGUAGGAUGGGACUGCGGCCUAUCAGUUUGUUGGUGAGGUAAUGGCCCACCAAGACUAUUACAGGUACGGGCUCUGAGAGGAGUGGCCCGGAGAUGGGUACUGAGACACGGACCCAGGCCCUAUGGGGCGCAGCAGGCGAGAAAACUUUGCAAUGUGCGAAAGCACGACAAGGUUAAUCCGAGUGGUUUCUGCUAAAGGAACCUUUUGACAGUCCUAGAAACACUGUUGAAUAAGGGGUGGGCAAGUUCUGGUGUCAGCCGCCGCGGUAAAACCAGCACCUCAAGUGGUCAGGAUGAUUAUUGGGCCUAAAGCAUCCGUAGCCGGCUCUGUAAGUUUUCGGUUAAAUCUGUACGCUUAACGUACAGGCUGCUGGGAAUACUGCAGAGCUAGGGAGUGGGAGAGGUAGACGGUACUCGGGAGGAAGUGGUAAAAUGCUUUGAUCUCUCGAUGACCACCUGUGGCGAAGGCGGUCUACCAGAACACGUUCGACGGUGAGGGAUGAAAGCUGGGGGAGCAAACCGGAUUAGAUACCCGGGUAGUCCCAGCUGUAAACGAUGCAGACUCGGUGAUGCGCUGGCUUGUGGCCAGUGCAGUGCCGCAGGGAAGCCGUUAAGUUUGCCGCCUGGGAAGUACGUACGCAAGUAUGAAACUUAAAGGAAUUGGCGGGGGAGCACCACAAGGGGUGAAGCCUGCGGGUUCAAUUGGAUUCAACGCCGGG